CCUCUUUUAUUCUUCCACAUGUUGACUAUUGUGACGUAAUAUGAGAUAGGUGCAUAGACGAACCAAAAAUUACAGCUGGAUGCACUCAGGACUAUAUGCGGAGCUGUAAAGGAUACCAGUCAUAGAUCAGCAGAAGGUUUUAAGAUUAGUGUAACAUCUUUAUCAAUCAUAAUCAAAAUGUGGACUGGAACAACUGUGUAGCCAAUGGGCUAUCCGUGUUACACAUGUACAUAUAUCUUUGCUGGAAAUGACGAAACUUAUGGAUAUGAUUGUGUAAACAAUACACGAAACUUUGUCCAAACUUCAAAGACGCAAUGUCAGGCACCACCCCAGUGUUCUAUAGAUGCUACUUUCACAUAGAAUUUUGAAACCCUGCUGUCACUAUCUCGAUCCUGUAAGAUACCGCCUUCUUUGUCUAAUGGCUGUGUUGGUGGAUCAACUCGACCAUCCUGCGCGCACCACUGUCCUACCAAUCUGUGCAACCAUAUUGAUUUAAGAGCAAAGUACGGUAUUGUUACAACCAAUGAUGGUAUAGCUACAACAAAUGGUGGUAUAGUUACAACCGAUGAUGACAUAAAUAGUACAUCAAAACCACUGUUGUCUUUAGUGUUAUAUAGUUUAAUUUUAUCCACAGUCGCAUGGUUAAUUUUAAAGGAAUGAUUUAAAUGUCAGCAAAUUAUAGUAGAUAUAAUCAGUAUUGAAUAGCCUGUCAAGAAUUCCUUAAUUUCGGGCUUAUUCAAAAUUGUGUUUUCAUAUUAUAAACUAUAAGUCUUUUCAGAAUAAUUGCGUCUAAUCAAAUUAGACCAUACCUUUUCCCGCUUAUAUAAGAAAGUAGUUAGUUCUUUAUCUAGUGUAGACCAACCGAAUUAAAAACUUGAACCAAAAUAUUACGUAUGAAAUACGAAGCCUCCUUGAAUUAACUGAGGGUUUCGUUAAUUCAUGAUAAUUUUAAAACUUUAGGCCACCAUAAAACCCCAGUGAGGUCUAAGUUCGCGUGGACAGAAAACAAAAUGUUUGAAGGUUUAAUACAUAACUUGAUACCAAACCAGAAUAAUAUUAGCGGAAGUCAUUGUGGACAUUUGGCGCACAUACAUUAUUUUCCGUUGAUUUCACACCAUCAUCUAUCAAAAUAUAUGACAUUUAUCCUUUCACACAACACUUUAUCAAGUUAUGUUACCUACAAAUGUUUGGUAUAUUCUACUAUCUUAAAGUAAAUUUUAGUGAUUUGUCCCAUUGUUCUCUUCAUCGCGCAACGAUUAUCCAGACGUAAUGGGAAAUAAUUUCUUGGUUGACAUUAUUUGCAGUGUACCGCGAAAUGUUUCAAAAUAAUCUUAAAAAAAUAAUCUUAAUUUAAUCGAGGAAUACCGAUUGCUUGUGUUGAUGUAAGUAUUAUAUUUAAUUUGUACAAAGGGUAUGGUACAAGCGCUGGCUUAAAAGUUCUAAGACAAUCUGUGAAAGACCUGUACAAAGUCGAUGGUUUCCAUUGAUUUUUCUACAUAGUCCCCUUAGCGGUGUACACACUUUUGCCAACGAUGUUGCAAGGCUUGGAUACCAACCAGGAAGAAAUUUUCUUCAGCCGCCCUAAAAAAGUUAUUCACAGCUGACAUUAUUACUAGGAAAAUGACGACUGGUUAGUUUAUUUUUCAUUUUUGGAAACAAGUCUCAUCCAUGGUUACAAAUCUGGUAAAAAUAAAAAAAUUACAAGGAUCUGCUUCAAAGCGGCACAAAUCGUCACGUUUUCGAUCCGCAGUCAAGAGCUUUGGUACCUAUCAUGCAGAAACUUUUGUCAUUCGUAACUCGUUGGCGAUAAUGUACUCAACCCUUUCAUGAUAGAUGCCCACAACACUGGCAAUAUGUCGACUGGUCAAUCGUCGAUCAGCCAUUACCAUGUCAUGCACCCGGGUGAUGUUUUCUUGAAUGGUUGCUGUUGAUGGCCUUCCAGGGCGCGUGUCAUCGUCAAGGCCUCUCUGCCACGCGUAAACUUCGCAGCCUACUUCUUUACUGUGGAAAAGGAAGGGGCAUCAUCUCCUAAAGUGGAGACCAUUAUUAUCGACUUGUAUCUGUGUUGAGAUAAGUCCUUUCAAUUGCUGGUACUUGAUGACUUCCCUAUAGCCAGUUUUGUCCAUUUCUUGUGAUUUUAAUGGGUAGGUUCCCAAGAUGGUCUGGUACGAAGUCAAUAAUAACACUACAGUUGUAGUUCUCAUGUUUAUGAUUCAUUCAAUGAUUGCAUGUACUUGUUAAUGGCAAAUGUUUGUUUCAACUCAAUUGAUCUGUCCUUUUCAGCCAGCCCUCAUAUUGUAAGUACAUAGUUGUUCGAGAUGCAGCCCAAUUCUGAGCCUUAUAAUGCAAUUUUACAAUAAUCAUUUUGAUGUCCUAUCCGUCUAUUUUUAAAAUGUGUUUAAGGCUUAGCAUUUCUUGUUUAAUAUGUGAUAUGUUUUAAUGUAUGCAACUUUACGUUCAGAUGGAUAUUAAGCGUUCUCCAAAUGAAUUAAAUUAUCAUCAUCAUCAUGAUCAAUAUUAUUAUUAUUAGUGUUGUUGUUAAUUAUUGUGCCAGAAAAGAAUACGAUUUUCAACUUUUAGACGAUUAUAAUAAUUCAAAUAUACGUAUCAAAAUUUACAAGCGUCUAAUUCAUAAAGGUU